rnacentral:sRNA from 1 species
UGGUUGAUGUGGAGCCUGAAAACGCAGUAGCAAUCGAUCCAACGGAAGGAACUCU